GAACAAGAAAAAGAUAUUUUCCAACUGAGAUAAAUAUCUAUUACCUACUUUAUACUUGAAAUUUAUAAGUCCAAAGUCAUCAAAAAAAUUAAGGAAUACAUUCAUCUAAGUUAAUUACUAUGGCGACAUAACUUCAGCAGCCUGCAGUAUUUCUUCAGUAUAAUAGUACUAUCCAUUUUCUUCAGAAUAAUAGUAUAAUCCAUUAGCUUAGAAUUUCACAAGAAUCUCACUUACCAGCGACUUUUUUACUUGUCAAAGACUUUAGUAAUUAUUCAAUUUAAAAUAAUAUUAGAUUCAUACACUUAAUUUUGCAUUUAGAACUACCCUAAGG
rnacentral:misc_RNA from 1 species